rnacentral:lncRNA from 1 species
CCUUGUGCUUCUUUCCAUCCCCUUCAAUUCAUCCUUUUUCUUGUUCUUGUUAAAAUCAAAUGAUGUAGCUUCCAAAAUUCCUUCUCUUUAUUCUGUAGUGGAAGAUCCUAACUGAGUUGAGAUAGAUCCCAAUCACCAAGGUUUACAAGUCCACAAAUCCUCCUUUUCUGAAAUGGGACAGCACAAUCACAUCAUUGUACAAUUAAACCUUUCCAAUGGUUAUCUGAUUCAUCUCUUAUACAAUAUGAAAUGUUGCUUUCCCUUGGAGACCAACAACAUCGUAGUAGUGGACAAGUUCCCUUUGUGAUGGAGGUUCCCACAUAAUAAAUCUUCGGAGGGAUGGUAGCCUGUAGCAUGUAAUAGUAAGAACUGGUUACAAGAGCCUAGACCUAGACCUUUCUAAAGCUAGUGCAGCAGGAUGAAG